UGAUAUGGUUUGGCUGUGUCCCCACCCAAAUCUCAUCUUGAAUUGUAGUUGCUAUAAUCCUCACAUGUUGUGAGAGGAAGCCAGUUGGA